rnacentral:lncRNA from 1 species
GCCGCAAUGUCCCAUCGGCCACUUACCCCUCUGCCAUACCGACUGCCACCACCAGCACUGGCCAUACCCUGGAAAAACAACAGACAAGCAAAGCAGAAGCAAGAAUAGCAAAAAAUAAUAAUAAAGUAUGUAACAAAACAGGCUAUAAAAGCCGAAUAGAAAACUGAAAUGGGGUUUCUUUUUCCUUUCCUUUUUUUUCUUUGUAAACAUCAACCAAAAAAAGAGUUAUAGAUUUCAAUAAACAUAUAAGUCGUUAUUCAAGCACACAGGAGAAAAUCCAAGAAUCGAAUCAGAUCAGUGACAAAGAAGGUGACUUUUUUUUUUCAUUUUAGGCAUUUAAAUACAGAAAAAUAAAAGAAAAAUAAAAAAAAAUAGAUAAAUAGCAAAAAAAAGAAGAAGAAGAAAUUACCUUUCCGGCCACCGUGUACGGUGGCCGGCGCCGGCGCCGGCGAGGAUCAGGUGGCCGGACGGUGGCCGGGCUCCCCGCCGGAAAUCCUCUUCCCCCCUCCCUUCUCUCUCCCUUCUCUCUUCCCUCUCUCUUUUUUUUUUCUUUCCCU